UACGAAGGGGGCUAGCGUUGCUCGGAAUGACUGGGCGUAAAGGGCGCGCAGGCGGCCGCGUCAGUCGGGCGUGAAAGCCCGGGGCUCAACCCCGGGACGGCGCCCGGGACGGCGCGGCUGGAGGCCGGGAGAGGGGGGUGGAAUAGCCAGUGUAGAGGUGAAAUUCGUAGAUAUUGGCUGGAACACCGGUGGCGGAAGCGGCCCCCUGGCCCGGCCCUGACGCUGAGGCGCGAAAGCGUGGGGAGCAAACAGG
rnacentral:rRNA from 1 species